UCACGUUGAAUUAUACAACAAUAUCAAACAGUACUGUUUGCGACGUUUAAAUUUUUAAUAGAAAACACAAAGAAAACUCUACCUUCGACAUCUAAACUGUAUUUUCACAACACUCCGCACGUUUACAAUGAGAAAACUGAAAACUAUCGAGUGUAAAAUAGUUGGAACAACUAACACUGCAGAAUCAAAACGGUGUGACGGGCAACAAAAUAUAAGUGUGUACGAUAUUACUCAAUACAAAAUUUGCAUUUCAGUUUUUUUAUUAUUCUACAGGUAGCACCGCUGCUGCAUUUGUAAUAUCACUCGCGAUAGUUUUUCCGUAUUGAUAGUACAAAUAAUGUAUUCUAUUAUCUUAUCAGGUGGGGUAAUAUUUGGUGUGAGCGAUGGUUUGAUAAGCGAAGAGUUGUUGGUGAAUCUACUUUUAUGAGAAAUUCAAAUAUGUACUACAAUACAGUGAGAAGCACAUGCAUAAAACAUACCUUUCUAGUCGGUUUUGUACAGGACCUGUUAUCAAUAGCAUUUAAAAUUUUAUCAGACGCUUUUUGAGGAGACAAAUUUCUUAUUUCCAAUUCACUGAACAUAAUCCACC
rnacentral:lncRNA from 1 species